AAUAGAUACCCGGGUAGUCCACGCCCUAAGCUAUGUCGACUGGUUGUUGGGGGAGUCUAUCCCUCAGUAACGUAGCUAACGCGUGAAGUCGACCGCCUGGGGAGUACGGUCGCAAGAUUAAAACUCAAAGGAAUUGACGGGGACCCGCACAAGCGGUGGAUUAUGUGGAUUAAUUCGAUGCAACGCGAAGAACCUUACCUACCCUUGACAUGCCAGGAACCUCGCAGAGAUGUGAGGGUGCCCGAAAGGGAACCUGGACACAGGUGCUGCAUGGCUGUCGUCAGCUCGUGUCGUGAGAUGUUGGGUUAAGUCCCGCAACGAGCGCAACCCUUGCCAUUAGUUGCUACAUUCAGUUGGGCACUCUAAUGGGACUGCCGGUGACAAACCGGAGGAAGGUGGGGAUGACGUCAAGUCCUCAUGGCCCUUAUGGGUAGGGCUUCACACGUAAUACAAUGGCGCAUACAGAGGGCUGCAAACCCGCGAGGGGGAGCCAAUCCUAAAAAGUGCGUCGUAGUCCGGAUUGUUCUCUGCAA
rnacentral:rRNA from 1 species